CCAUAACAAUAACGCCUGGUGAUACGGCGGCAACGCUAUAAAUCAAAGCAAUUGGCAGCGAUAGAGAUGCGCGGUGGAAUAUGCUGUUUAAAUCGAAGAUACACGCAGAAUCUUACCACUUUUUAAUA
rnacentral:rRNA from 1 species